AAUACAUCUUCUUUUAUUUAUUUUGAUGCAAGUAUUUCCAGACGGAGGGAGUACAUUUGAAGUUGUAGCCGGUGAUUUUACAUUUUUCCUAAAGGCCAUUUUCCAUUGGAACCAUCGAAUUCUUCUACAUUAUGAUUUGCAUCCCUCGCAGCCUCACUGAUGCCCGGGCGCCGCCGCGGCUGGAGCACCCGCCGCCGCUCUGCCGGUCACCAGCUCAUCGCCCCACGGUCAGAUAAUAGAGUAGAUCUUUCCAGAUCCAAGGCCUGAACCAGGCAGACACAACGAAAGGACUCCAGCAGUUCACUGAUCUCUCCUCUACUCCGUGGACAUCCGAAUUCCUUCCUUCACCCCGUCCCCCCGAUCUCCCCACGCCAUGUCCGACACGGGCGCCGGCGGCGACGAGGUCAUCCACGACGCCCCCGGCUUCAUUCGCGUCUACAAGAGCGGCCGCGUCGAGCGCUUCCUGCGGAUCGACUUCGCCCCGCCCUGUACCGACGCCGCCACCGGCGUCUCCUCGAAGGACCUCACCAUCCUCCCGGGAGCCGGCGUGUCGGCGAGAAUCUACCUCCCGCCUGCCCCCGCCGGCGGCCAACAGGGCAAGCUCCCCGUCCUCGUAUUCUUCCAUGGUGGUGCCUUCUGCCUCGGCUCGGCGUUCGACGCCGCCGCGUACGGCCACGCCAACCAGCUCGCCGCGCGGGCAGGCGCGAUCGUCGUGUCGGUGGAGUACCGCCUCGCGCCGGAGCACCCCGUCCCCGCGCUCUACGGGGACGCCUGGGCGGCGCUCCAGUGGGUGGCCGCGCACGAGGGCGGCCAGGGCGCGGAGCCCUGGCUGACCAACCACGCGGACUUCGGGCGCGUCCACGUGGGCGGCGAGAGCGCCGGCGCCAACAUCGCGCACCACGCCGCAAUGCGUGCCGGUGCCGAGGAGCUGGGCCACGGUGUGAAGGUGAGCUCGCUCGUGCUGAUCCAUCCCUACUUCUUGGGGGGCGACAGCUCUGAGUCGGACGAGAUGGGCAUGGCGUUGCUCGACGAGCUGGUGCGGCUUUGGCCGGUGGUCUGCCCGGGGACCAGUGGGUGCGACGACCCGUGGAUCAACCCGAUGGCGGAGGGAGCGCCCAGCCUGGCCGGGCUGGGGUGCAAGCGCGCUCUGGUAUGCGUUGGGGGCAAGGACGCCAUGAGGGGAAGGGGAAGGCUGUACCGUGAGAAAUUGAUUGGGGGUGGGUGGCAAGGUGAGGUGGAAAUCUGGGAGGCGGAUGGGCAGGGUCACGGCUUCCAUCUCUUCCGGCCGACAUGCGCCCAGGCGGAAGCACAGGUCCGCGUCAUCGCUGAGUUUUUGGGCCACCGAUGAGAUCUUCCAUUCUGCACUCAUUCACAUGGCCAAGACUAAGAGAUGUAAGGCUUCUCUUAAAAGUGCAAUCCUAUUGAGCAACUGUGAAAAUGUCGCUGAUACAGUGGUGCUGGUCAAGCAGGCCAUGACCACUAUGACGAUCCAUCAGUCAUACAACCAAUAGAUGUUUACACAUAUUGAUAUUGCAUUAAUAUGUUUUCACGAGUCGAGCAAGGUUUUUAUGAAAAGAACCUGCAUGACAAGAGGGGUCUUCAGUGUCAAUGGUGCCAGCAGCCAGACAACAGACUGAACUGAAAUGUAGUCAGCACUAGCAUGCCAGGUAACUGCUGCAUACCUUCUUGUGAAUUAUGUGAGGAUGUAUAAUUUUCUUGGGAUACAUAUAUUGGCCUUACUUUGAAGCAAUCACCUGGCUAAUUUACAAAACUAACUACUUGCUGCUGAUUGUAAGGAUGCAUAAUUUUCUAGGGACACAUAUCAACCUACUUCGAAGUAGUCACUUGCCUCAUUACAGAACUAACUACUUAGUACUGACAUGAUGACUUCUCCUUAUGUGGCUUUGAAGUGCCAUUAUUUAUUUAUUUUGAAACGAAUAGGCAAAAGCCUCACAUACUUAUAUUAAAAGAAGAGUUACAAUAUGUACAAGGGUCUCUGGCUACAAAAGCAAGAUUUGAUAAUCCUUAAUGGCAUCGGUAAUGAAAAAUUGUACUGCUAGUAGCAACUGGCUGGAACUAGUUCUACAGCUCACUUUUCUGUACAUCGCAUGAUCCAAACUCAGCAAGAUGGGUGAUAUCAUCAAUAUUUUCUGGGAGCCUCUACUCUUCCAGUGUUCUGAAAAAUCCAUGUGAUGUCUUUCUCUUGAUUGGUACUUCUCGACAUCUCCAACAUCCUCAGGCCCAAAGAAAGAAAAUGAAUCAUCAGUGGCAUCUUGGAGGCCAUGCAUACUCAUUUCCAGCUUCUGAGCAUGCUGAAGAGUUUCUGCCAUGCUACCUCCAUGACAGACCACUUGAUUAUCUAAAUAUGUAAAUCAUUUCUCAUCUUCCAGAGAACCCACAACAAUGCUAAGGAUAUUCACGUUAACUAUUACUGGCAUGCCAUGCAUUAUAUCUGUUUAUCUUGAUUUAUGCAGUGAGUUUCCAUGGCUCUAUCUGACUACAGUUCCGUCCAUAUAAGCUAGCAGUAUCAGUUGUUUUAAUAUUUAGUCUUCACCUCCCAUGUAGGAAAAGCUAUGCAGUAACUUCACAUUGUUUUAUCUGACUGCAAUUGCAUGGUUGCGCCCAUAUAAGUUUGCACAAUGAAUUGUUUUAACUUUUGUUCUCCAUCUUCCAUGUAUGAAUCAGAGAAAGCGUGACUGGAAACUAGGUUAUUCGGUGAUGAAGCGAAGUAAGUUAGGUUUAUUUGAAUUUGGUAGAUAAUUUGUUGUUUUGAUUUUUUUUUCUGCAAGAGACAAAGAAUAGUAUGUAUCUGAUGCAAAAUAGAUUGUUCUUGAAUUAACUACUCUGGAUUUGUGAUAAAUAUUUUCCAUCGUUACCAUUCCUACGUUUUCUUCCUCUGGGAAUCAAACGAAUAUUCUAAUAUUUAUUUGUUCACGGGAUCUUAAAUCUAAUUGUUUUUCACAAUAUGAUAUUUUAAAUUAUCACAUGAUAUCUUACUUGACUGGCUACAUCACCUUUCCUUACACAUUUUACCUAGCCAAAGCUGAACGUUACACCAUUUCUCAAAAAUAAAAUAAAAUAAUUGAAGACUUACAUAAGUUCGUCGGAUCUAGACAACAAUCUUAUGUACUUAACUAGGAUAUCAUUUGGGUACAACGUGGAUGAGAAUACGUAAUCAAUGAUGCAACAACCGUCCAGCUAAAAGUAAACUGGCACAAAUUGAAUGCCACCAUGUUUUUUCCCCAUUGCUGCAUACUGCCUAAAAUUCAAAUGCUUCAGCAGUGCAGGUUCCUCGAUAUCAUCCUCAAAGGGCAUGCCUAAGACAUCCCAUUUAAGUCAAUCAACUCGUACUAGUACACAAAUUGUUCAUCAUAUUAUUUAGAUUGCGUGCAUCGCAAGUAUGGCCAUAUUGUGACAGAGCACAAAGCUAAGAUUUAUUAGCUCCAUGCAAGUUUAGGCCAACUUUCUAACAGGACCAACACUUGGGUCAUGGAAAUUCUCUUUUCCUGGCAGCGCCUUCAGGGCACUAGAAUAGCCCCUAGUCCAAGGGCAACUGAGAAAGAGACAUUUGUCCUUCUUGCAUUCGAACCUCAUAUUUUCAACAGAAAAUAAAGCGUGCACUUUUGCAACUUUAAUUCUACACAUCUUCUCAUGAAUGAAGAUUAUUAAGAUCGUAUUAUCGCACGUUUAAGUUAUUCGUAAUGACUAUUCCUGAAUGUUAUAGACCUACACUACCUGCAUUACCACGAAAGUUCUCAUCCAAAGUCUAUUAAUACGUGUGCUCUACAUUAACUUGAGGACUCAAAAUUGCCGUCCUUGGAGAACUACAAUUCUGU